UACGUAGGUGGCAAGCGUUGUCCGGAUUUACUGGGCGUAAAGAGCGCGCAGGCGGUCGUUUAAGUCGAAUGUGAAAGCCCCGGCUCAACUGGGGAGGGUCAUUCGAUACUGAUCGACUUGAAGGCAGGAGAGAGAAGUGGAAUUCCCGGUGUAGUGGUGAAUGCGUAGAUAUCGGGAGGAACACAGUGGCGAAGGCGACUCUUGGCCUGUUCUUGACGCUGAGGCGCGAAAGCUGGGGAGCAAACGGG
rnacentral:rRNA from 1 species